CCUACGGGAGGCUGCAGUGGGGAAUAUUGGGCAAUGGGCGCAAGCCUGACCCAGCAACGCCGCGUGAAGGAAGAAGGCUUUCGGGUUUUAAACUUCCUUUCUGAGGGACGAAGAAAGUGACGGUACCUCAGGAAUAAGCCACGGCUAACUCCGUGCCAGCAGCCGCGUGAAUACGUAGGUGGCAAGCGUUAUUCGGAUUUAUUGGGUUUAACGGGCGUGGAGGCGGGAAAGCAAGUCAGUUGUGAAAACUCAGGGCUCAACCCUGGGCCUGCAUUUGAAACUGUUUUUCUUGAGUGAUGGAGAGGCAAUCGGAAUUCCGGGUGUAGCGGUGAAAUGCGUAGAUAUACGGAGGAACACCAGUGGCGAAGGCGGAUUGCUGGACAGUAACUGACGCUGAGGCGCGAAAGCGUGGGGAGCAAACAGGAUUAGAUACCCGUGUAGUC
rnacentral:rRNA from 1 species